CACGUAGUUAGCCGGGGCUUCUUAGUCAGGUACCGUCAUUUUCUUCCCUGCUGAUAGAAGUUUACAUACCGAAAUACUUCUUCCUUCGCGCGGCGUCGCUGCAUCAGGGUUUCCCCCAUUGUGCAAUAUUCCCCACUGCUGCCUCCCGUAGGAGUUUGGGCCGUGUCUCAGUCCCAAUGUGGCCGGUCACCCUCUCAGGCCGGCUACUGAUCGUCGCCUUGGUGAGCCCUUACCCCACAACUAGCUAAUCAGACGCGGGUCCAUCUCAUACCACCGGAGUUUUUCACACUGGACCAUGCAGUCCCGUGCGCUUAUGCGGUAUUAGCAGUCAUUUCUAACUGUUAUCCCCCUGUAUGAGGCAGGUUACCCACGCGUUACUCACCCGUCCGCCACUCAGUCAAAGAUAGCUUCCUACCGAAGUAAUCUGCUUUCAGUGCUUCGUUCGACUUGCAUGUGUUAAGCACGCCGCCAGCGUUCAUCCUGAGCCAGGAUCAAACUCUCG
rnacentral:rRNA from 1 species